UACAAGGGCGGAGCAGUAUUGUGAAUUAUUGGGCGUAAAGGGCGCGUAGGCGGCUUUGCAAGUGGCGGGUGAAAUCCCUCGGCUUAACCGAGGAACUGCCUGCCAGACUGUGAGGCUUGAGACCGGGAGAGGUGAGUGGAAUUCCCAGUGUAGCGGUGAAAUGCGUAGAUAUUGGGAGGAACACCAGUGGCGAAGGCGGCUCACUGGACCGGAACUGACGCUGAGGCGCGAAAGCGUGGGGAGCAAACAGG
rnacentral:rRNA from 1 species